rnacentral:rRNA from 1 species
AGCGAACGCCGGCGGCAGGCCUAACACAUGCAAGUCGAACGAACCUUUCGGGGUUAGUGGCGGACGGGUAAGUAACACGUGGGAACGUGCCUUUAGGUUCGGAAUAACUCAGGGAAACUUGUGCUAAUACCGAAUGUGCCCUUCGGGGGAAAGAUUUAUCGCCUUUAGAGCGGCCCGCGUCUGAUUAGCUAGUUGGUUGAGGUAAUGGCUCACCAAGGCGACGAUCAGUAGCUGGUCUGAGAGGAUGAUCAGCCACAUUGGGACUGAGACACGGCCCAAACUCCUACGGGAGGCAGCAGUGGGGAAUCUUGCGCAAUGGGCGAAAGCCUGACGCAGCCAUGCCGCGUGAAUGAUGAAGGUCUUAGGAUUGUAAAAUUCUUUCACCGGGGACGAUAAUGACGGUACCCGGAGAAGAAGCCCCGGCUAACUUCGUG